GAGUACAUUUGAUUUUAAAAUUACUCUACCCUUUAAUUUUAUCAAAAUAUCUAUUCAUAUCUAUCCAUAUUCUUUUAUAAAAUCACUAAUUCCUAAACCUAAAUUCCCAAAGUGAAUCAGAAACCCUAAUUCCCAAAUUGGAAACCCUAAUUCUUCCCAAACCUAGCCGCCGAAACCCUACUCCAAUUGCGCUCUUCUCAAACCCAGCAGCCGUGAUACCAACCUUUCCCUUUCUCAAAUCAGUCGCAACAGUAAAGGGGGAAGGGAUGCAAAAGAAAAACGGACCGAGAGAGAGGAGGCGGAGCUACGAUCAGAAGUGGAGGUGAGCCACGCUGCUGCCUCCGUUCAGCCCACCGCCACUGCGCCGUCUUUGUCGCAGCCACUCCCGCCAGAACUCAUGCCGCCGAUUUGUCGCUCGAGGAGCCGCCAUUUUUGCUCGUCGUUUCCCCCCAGAGUCGUCGCCGUCGAGGGCCAGCAGAGGAAGAGAGAACGACCGCGAGCCAGGUUCACCAGCGAGGAGAGGGACUGUGGCACGUCACCGUUGCGACUCAUUUCACGACCAUCACGGCGAGGGCUCUGUUGCCAUCGUCCCAACGUCGCCGUUCGUGCCCCUUUGUCGCCGUCGCUGUUCUGCCCGGCGUCGCCAGUGUUGAGGUCAGCCACUCCACUACCACCGUCGAGCCUUGUUGGAACUGGUGUUGCUUCUGGAGGUUUGGAAGGGAGGCUUGCUCGGAUCUGCUUCUGGUCUGGUUCUCGCAGUUGUGGGAGUCUCUGCUACCAUCAGAGCUGCCAUUGAAGUUAUUGAUUUGGUUCCAAUUCCUCCAUUUUUGAGACCUGCUGCUACUCUAUUUUCCCUGUUUACUGCUAGAACUAUCAUAGGGGAUACUGUUGAUGCCAUCAGGAAACUGUUAGAGCUGCUGUUGUUGCUGAUGCAAGUUAGAACGAAAUUGGAGUCACGUUUAAUUUUGUGGGUUUCGACUAACUGAGUGAUACAGGUUCGAAGAUUCAGUUUGAAGCUACGGGCGAUUCUAGAAUUCAUUUAUGAGUUAAGUUUAUGACUUGAGUUUCUUUCAUAGAAUUCCCUCGCCUUUGUAGCUUUAGUUUUUAUUUUAUGCAGAGGGAUAGAAG